CCUACGGGGGGCAGCAGUGAGGAAUAUUGGUCAAUGGACGAGAGUCUGAACCAGCCAAGUAGCGUGAAGGAUGACUGCCCUAUGGGUUGUAAACUUCUUUUAUAAAGGAAUAAAACGAGGCACGUGUGCCUUUUUGCAUGUACUUUAUGAAUAAGGAUCGGCUAACUCCGUGCCAGCAGCCGCGGUAAUACGGAGGAUCCGAGCGUUAUCCGGAUUUAUUGGGUUUAAAGGGAGCGUAGACGGGUGGUAAAGUCAGUUGUGAAAGUUUGCGGCUCAACCGUAAAAUUGCAAUUGAUACUGGGAGUCUUGAGUGCAGUUGAGGUAGGCGGAAUUCGUGGUGUAGCGGUGAAAUGCUUAGAUAUCACGAAGAACCCCGAUUGCGAAGGCAGCUUACUAGACUGUAACUGACAUUGAUGCACGAAAGUGUGGGUAUCAAACAGGAUUAGAUACCCCAGUAGUC
rnacentral:rRNA from 1 species